GAAGGGGGCUAGCGUUGUUCGGAAUUACUGGGCGUAAAGCGCGCGCAGGCGGUUUUCCAAGUCAGAGGUGAAAGCCCAGAGCUCAACUCUGGAGCUGCCUUUGAAACUGGAAAACUAGGGUACGGGAGAGGUGAGUGGAAUUCCGAGUGUAGAGGUGAAAUUCGUAGAUAUUCGGAAGAACACCAGUGGCGAAGGCGGCUCACUGGCCCGUUACCGACGCUCAGGCGCGACAGCGUGGGGAGCAAACAGGAUUAGAUACCCUGGUAGUCCACGCCGUAAACGAUGGAUGCUAGCCCGUUGGUAAGCAUGCUUAUCAGUGGCGCAGCUAACGCAUUAAGCAUCCCCGCCUGGGAGUACGGCCGCAAGGUUG
rnacentral:rRNA from 1 species